rnacentral:rRNA from 1 species
UACGAACUGUGCGAACGUUAUUCGGAAUCACUGGGCUUACAGGGUGCGUAGGCGGCUUAGCAAGUCAGGUGUGAAAGCCCCCCGGCUCAACCGGGGAACUGCGCUUGAAACUGACUGAGCUCGAGUCAGCUAGAGGUACACGGAACUUCCAGUGGAGCGGUGAAAUGUGUUGAUAUUGGAAGGAACACCGGAGGCGAAAGCGGUGUACUGGGGCUGGUCUGACGCUGAGGCACGAAAGCCAGGGGAGCGAACGGG